rnacentral:rRNA from 1 species
GACGAACGCUGGCGGCGUGCUUAACACAUGCAAGUCGAACGGAAAGGCCCUGCUUUUGUGGGGUGCUCGAGUGGCGAACGGGUGAGUAACACGUGAGUAACCUGCCCUUGACUUUGGGAUAACUUCAGGAAACUGGGGCUAAUACCGGAUAGGAGCUCCUGCUGCAUGGUGGGGGUUGGAAAGUUUCGGCGGUUGGGGAUGGACUCGCGGCUUAUCUGCUUGUUGGUGGGGUAGUGGCUUACCAAGGCUUUGACGGGUAGCCGGCCUAAGAGGAUGACAGGCCACAUUGGGACUGAGAUACCGCCAAGACUCCUACGGGGGGCAGCAGUGGUGGAUAUUGCACAAUGGGCGGAAGCCUGAUGCAGCAACGCCGCGUGCGGGAUGACGGCCUUCGGGUUGUAAACCGCUUUCGCCUGUGACGAAGCGUGAGUGACGGUAAUGGGUAAAGAAGCACCGGCUAACUACGUGCCAGCCGCCGCGGUAAUAC